rnacentral:rRNA from 1 species
UGGGGAAUAUUGGACAAUGGGCGAAAGCCUGAUCCAGCCAUGCCGCGUGUGUGAAGAAGGUCUUCGGAUUGUAAAGCACUUUAAGUUGGGAGGAAGGGCAGUAAGCGAAUACCUUGCUGUUUUGACGUUACCGACAGAACAAGCACCGGCUAACUCUGUGCCAGCAGCCGCGGUAAUACAGAGGGUGCAAGCGUUAAUCGGAAUUACUGGGCGUAAAGCGCGCGUAGGUGGUUCGUUAAGUUGAAUGUGAAAGCCCCGGGCUCAACCUGGGAACUGCAUCCAAAACUGGCGAGCUAGAGUAGGGCAGAGGGUGGUGGAAUUUCCUGUGUAGCGGUGAAAUGCGUAGAUAUAGGAAGGAACACCAGUGGCGAAGGCGACCACCUGGGCUCAUACUGACACUGAGGUGCGAAAGCAUGGGGAGCAAACAGG